GAAGAGGACCGACACGGCCGCCGCCAGGCCGAGCUGACGGGCCCCGGCGAUGCCGAUCUCGUAGGCCAGCAUCGGGAAGACCAUCGUCGCGUCGAGCGGGCCGCCGCGGGUGAGGACGAAGACGAAGUUGAUGCUAUUCGCGGUCCAGAUCGUUGACAGCAUGGUGGUGACGA
rnacentral:misc_RNA from 1 species